AACCUCCGCAAUGUGAGAAAUCGCGACGGGGGGAUCCCAAGUGCCAUUCUUAACGGGAUGGCUUUUCAUUAGUGUAAAGAGCUUUUGGAAUAAGGGCUGGGCAAGACCGGUGCCAGCCGCCGCGGUAACACCGGCAGCUCUAGUGGUAGCAACUUUUAUUGGGCCUAAAGCGUCCGUAGCCGGUUUAAUAAGUCUCUGGUGAAAUCCUGUAGCUUAACUGUGGGAAUUGCUGGAGAUACUAUUAGACUUGAGACCGGGAGAGGUUAGAGGUACUCCCAGGGUAGAGGUGAAAUUCUGUAAUCCUGGGAGGACCGCCUGUUGCGAAGGCGUCUAACUGGAACGGUUCUGACGGUGAGGGACGAAAGUUAGGGGCGCGAACCGGAUUAGAUACCCGGGUAGUCCUAACUGUAAACGAUGCGGACUUGGUGUUGGGGUGGCUUUGAGCUGCUCCAGUGCCGAAGGGAAGCUGUUAAGUCCGCCGCCUGGGAAGUACGGUCGCAAGACUGAAACUUAAAGGAAUU
rnacentral:rRNA from 1 species